GACGAACGCUGGCGGCGUGCUUAACACAUGCAAGUCGAACGGGCCUUGUCCCCUUUUUUUUUGGGGGUGGGGUUAGUGGCGAACGGGUGAGUAACACGUGAGUAACCUGCCCCUCACUUCUGGAUAACCGCUUGAAAGGGUGGCUAAUACGGGGUGUUCUGGCCUGCUCGCAUGGGUGGGUUUGGAAAGAUUCGACCGGUUUUGGUUGUUUUGGUGGGGGAUGGGCUCGCGGCCUAUCAGCUUGUUGGUGGGGUGAUGGCCUGCCAAGGCUUUGACGGGUAGCCGGCCUGAGAGGGUGGGCGGUCACACUGGGACUGAGACACGGCCCAGACUCCUACGGGAGGCAGCAGUGGGGAAUAUUGCACAAUGGGCGCAAGCCUGAUGCAGCGACGCCGCGUGAGGGAUGGAGGCCUUCGGGGUGUGAACCUCUUUCGCCAGUGAAGAAGGUCCUGCUCUUUGUGGUGGGGUUGACGGUAGCUGGGUUAAUGAAGCGCCGGCUAACUACGAG
rnacentral:rRNA from 1 species